rnacentral:misc_RNA from 1 species
GGAUUGGCGUCAAUGUUCCAAUCAUAAGGAGGGUCGGUUGCUUCUGUUUGCGUUUGUGGGUAGUAUUUGUAUUUCUUGGGAUUGCUUUUGUGCUUUUGCUUUUAUAAUAAAAAUCUUGUCUUGGUGUUUUCUGGUCUUUUCUGUUCCCCUUCCCAGCCACAUCAUUUCUCUGGGGUUUUCAGAAUUUGUUACAUGAUGGACUUCUUGUUGGGGCAUUAUUGUUAGUGGUCGGUCACUUUGUGGAGGGCACUUGGAGAGCUUUCUCAUUCACCUUAUAGCACUUGACCAGAGGUUGUGAAACAGAGUAAGGAGAUUAUGGCUACUUAUUACCCCAGUUUGAGCAGCCAGAGAGACAAUUUGCAAAGUCCAUAUCCAGGAGACCAGAAACUUGCUUCUUAUUCUG